CAGUUAUUUUGUCUCAUGGCAAAACUUGCCCAAGAAUUCAGGCAGAGUGACCCCAGCUCCACUUGAGGUUUUUUGAGUGGUUCUAAAGUGGAAAAGUUUGAGAUGUGCUGAUUCUUCUGGAGUGGGUAUUAAGACAAAAAGGAAACCACUGAGCGUUCAGCUUGUAAGUGGGGAGCUCACGGAACAUGGAGAACAGAAAAAGCAAUUUGAGCACUCCCUGGGAAUGUUCACUUUUACACUAUUUGGAUUCUGAAGUCCAGUUCUCUUAUGCUUUGUGUUUGAUUGAAAAGGGAUAAGUCUAUAUCUCAUUUAACCAUUCGAAGCAACUAAAACCAAAGGCUGCUUGCAACUGUGCAUUCUGUUGCCUCUUGUGCUUGUUCUGCCAAGAGAACAUAAAAUCAGAGGGUAGCUCAGGUCCCUUCUCACACACCCUAAGUCCAUGUUUUACUAUUGUCAGGUACUAAUAAUGUACCUUUUCUUUAGCUUUGCAGAAUGGCAAAGAGACAGUUGAGUUUGGACUUUUUCUGCGCAAAGGCCAAGACUUCAGCCUCCUCUAAGAGUCCUGCCCCCAACACAAGCAGCACAGUUCUGAAUUAUGGUACCGGAAGCAGCCACAGUGAGUGUGACACUCCAGAUUAGGAUGCCACAUCAUGCACAAGCACUCAUACAGACAUUAGUACGGCUUCCUGUAGCAGAGACCCUUGCUUUGGGUCAGAUGCAGCUUUGAAAUAUCUUAAGAAAGGGCCAUAUCAGCCCAUAAUUGUGUUUCCAGGCACUCCAUCUGCCAAUAAAAUAAGAAAAUUCAGAAAAGAAUGGUACAGUGAUCACAAAUGGCUUGAAUACAGUGUCUGUCAGGACACAGUUUUCUGUUUCUGCUGCCGAGCAUCACAACUUGACAGUCGCAGGAAAAAAACUGGACAAAAACCAAGGAUGCUUACAAACUGUAAUACAGACUGUGUUGUUUUGUGCUUGCCAAGGCAUACCUUUGAGGGAACAUGAGCGAGCUGAUUCCACAAAUCAAGGAAACUUGCAGGAAUUGACAAAACUGCAUAGUGAAGACAACAAAGUGAUUCAGCGGCUUAUGAUUAACCUAGAGAAGUUCUUCACCUACCUACACAGCUCCUGUCAAAAUGAAAUACUUGAGAUUAUGGCUUCACAAGUCCAGAAUUCAAUAGUAAAGGAAGUAAAGUAAGCUGGAGUGUUUGCCAUAAUUGCAGAUGAAACAAUGGAUCUCUCCAGGCAUGAACAAGUCGCUCUCAUACUGCGAUAUGUAAACCAGUCCUUCGAAAUACCAGAACAACGUAUUGGCUUCUAUAGGACACUGCAGACAGCUGGUGCUUCACUUGCCUCACUGAUCAAGACUACUUUGUCAGAUCCGAGACUUGAUAUUUUGGCUCUAAGAAGUCAGUGCUAUGAUGGAGCUGCAAGCAUGAGAGGACCCUAUAAAGGUAUGGCUGCAUGGAUACUUAGUGAGAAUCCUUUAGCUUAUUACAUUCACUGCUACGCUCAUAUAUUAAAUCUGUGCAUAGUGGAUGUGGUUUCUUGCACUCCCUCUGUCCAGAAUGCCUUCACACUUCUCCAUGAACUACAAACUUUCAUUGAAGGAAGUGCAAUGAAAGUGCUAUCUUUGGAAAAAUUGUAUCAGAAGGAAGACAAUCAGAAACUGCUUCUUUUUCUGGUGGACCAGUAACUCUUAAACCAUUCAGUGACCCUUGAUGGAACUGUCAAGUCAAGGCUACCAAAGCUCUUUUAGAAAAUUUUGAUGAGAUAGUUGAAGCUCUGGAUGAAAUCGAACAUGGGGGUUCAAAAGCUAGAGUUGAAGCUUGUGUACUUCUCCGACACCUGCAAGACUUCAACUUCCUGUACUGCAUGCUGCUUAUGAGGAGAGUGCUUAUGCAAACU